UAGGAAGCAGCUGUAGAGCAAUCAGAGACGGGAGUCAGCUGCGUGGAGGGGGUUUUCUGGGGCAGCUUGUUCCUAAGGCUCCUGCCUUUUAACAGAUAAUAGAAGAGGGGUGCCGUUGUCAUGUGGCUGCUUCUUGCUGGGUAGGGGCAACGUCUGGGUAGAGGCUAGAUUGUGGGGAUUGUCGUUCCUGGAACUGUCUGUAUUCUUGGAGCAGCAUCUUACUUUGUAUUGUCCCAUGGGUGAAAGCUCUAAUACGGUCCUAUAAAAACUGAGUGAGGAGUCAAAGAGGCAGGGGCCAAAUGCUAGAAGAAGGAUAGAAACAGUAGGUCCAGCUAGCAAGAGAAGCCGUGGAGCCCAACUCCAAAGAUUAGCCCAGGAGACCGAAAGGCGCUGCCUGAUUUCAGAAGCUUUUUCAUUUGACCGUCGAGCGGCAUUUCGUACUACUCCUGACUGAUUUCUGCGGAGAGGUGGACAGCCCUGCUCUUCCUGUUCCCGUGGCCGCAGUAACUCCAAGUCCUCGAAGGGUGUUAGCUGCAUGGCUCGGUGCUGGCAGACUUGAGCUUUGAAGGGGACUGAGUUAAGGAUCUUGAGAUUAUUCUUAAUUGUCUGCCUGGGCCCUAAAUUCAACGGCAGAGAGAGAUUUGGGCCACAGAGAAGAGGAGGUGACCAUGUGAAGACAGGCAGAGACUGGAGUCACGCAGCUACAAGGAAUGCUGGUGGCCACCAGAAGUGCGAGGAGGUAAGGAGAAACCCUCCACUAAAGCCUUUGAAGGGAGCAUGACCCUGUUAACAUCCUGGUUUUGAACUCGUGGCUUCCAAAAGUGUGGGAGAAUAAGUUUACGUUGUGUAAAGCUCCCAAGUUUGUGAGAAUUUGUUCCAGCAGCCUUAGGAAAGUAAAACAAUGUGCAGAGUUGAGUUCCAAUAAAACUUUAUUUGCAAGUACAUGAUUUGGCCCAUUGACCAUAGUUUGCCAACUCUGGUUUAGAUGAACAAGAAAACUGAAUAGGUCAGCAGGCUCAAAGCAAGCUGAUGGAUACUUACUGAGACCCUCCUAAAGCCCAGAGAUGCAUGCCUAUGUGAGGCCAUGGAUUUUGAAAGUGGUUAAAGGCUAAUUUUCAGGAUAGAGAAUGAAGAAAUGGGGGUUCUUAUUGGAGAUCUUGACUAAGGUCUGGGAUCAA